AUACUUGAUCAGGAUAAAUGGAGAGGAACACCUUGACAGCCUCAUGGCUGAUCCUGUGGCUUCAUCUUGGCCGAGUGAGCAGCCUCUUGACUGUGGAACAGCGUCCUGCCUCGCUGUGGGUUCAGGAAGGAGAGAGCGCCAAUUUCACCUGCAGUUUCCCUCCCAGCUCUUUCUAUGCCUUACACUGGUACAGAUGGGGACCUGCAAAGGGCCCCAAGAACCUGUUUGUAGUGAGUGUAAAUGGGGAUGAAAAGAAGCGAGGACGAGUGAGAGUCACUCUGAACACUAAGGAGGGCGACAGCUCCAUGUACAUCGGAGGAUCCCAGCCUGAAGACUCAGCCACAUACCUCUGCGCCUCCACACAGUGCCCCUCAGCCCCCUGCAUCCCACACCCAAACCCGGGCCUGCUGCCGCUCUGGGACCAGCGCCAAGGAAGAGCCAUUAUGGGGGGGGGGGAAAUGGGAAAUUCAAUGAAUGACAGUGUUUGCAGUAAUCAGGGGGAAAUGCAGACACAGAUAAACAGGGAUUCCAGUCACUGUAGCUCCCUCAACCAACUGGACUGUUCCUAA